rnacentral:rRNA from 1 species
AUUGAACGCUGGCGGCAUGCCUUACACAUGCAAGUCGAACGGUAACGGGCCUUCGGGUGCCGACGAGUGGCGAACGGGUGAGUAAUGUAUCGGAACGUACCUUUCAGUGGGGGAUAACGUAGCGAAAGUUACGCUAAUACCGCAUAUUCUGUGAGCAGGAAAGCAGGGGAUCGGAAGACCUUGCGCUUAUUGAGCGGCCGAUAUCAGAUUAGCUAGUUGGUGAGGUAAAAGCUCACCAAGGCGACGAUCUGUAGCGGGUCUGAGAGGAUGAUCCGCCACACUGGAACUGAGACACGGUCCAGACUCCUACGGGAGGCAGCAGUGGGGAAUUUUGGACAAUGGGGGCAACCCUGAUCCAGCCAUGCCGCGUGAGUGAAGAAGGCCUUCGGGUUGUAAAGCUCUUUCGGCCGGGAAGAAAUCGUAUCAGCUAAUACCUGGUGCGGAUGACGGUACCGGCAUAAGAAGCACCGGCUAACUACGUGCCAGCAGCCGCAGUAAUAC